rnacentral:tRNA from 1 species
GUUAAUGUAGCUUAUUUAAAGCAAAGCACUGAAAAUGCUUAGAUGGAUGCAAGCGUCCCAUAAACA